rnacentral:rRNA from 1 species
GAUGAACGCUAGCGGGAGGCCUAACACAUGCAAGCCGAGCGGUAGAAUUUCUUCGGAGAUUUGAGAGCGGCGUACGGUGCGUAACACGUGUGCAACCUACCUUUAUCUGGGGGAUAGCCUUUCGAAAGGAAGAUUAAUACCCCACAAUAUAAUGAAUGGCAUCAUUAUUAUUGAAACUACCGGUGGAUAGAGAUGGGCACGCGCAAGAUUAGAUAGUUGGUGAGGUAACGGCUCACCAAGUCAAUGAUCUUUAGGGGCCUGAGAGGGUGAUCCCCACACUGGUACUGAGACACGGACCAGACUCCUACGGGAGGCAGCAGUGAGGAAUAUUGGACAAUGGGUGGAGAGCCUGAUCCAG